GAGGACCGAACCGACUAAUGUUGAAAAAUUAGCGGAUGACUUGUGGCUGGGGGUGAAAGGCCAAUCAAACCGGGAGAUAGCUGGUUCUCCCCGAAAGCUAUUUAGGUAGCGCCUCGUGAAUUCAUCUCCGGGGGUAGAGCACUGUUUCGGCAAGGGGGUCAUCCCGACUUACCAACCCGAUGCAAACUGCGAAUACCGGAGAAUGUUAUCACGGGAGACACACGGCGGGUGCUAACGUCCGUCGUGAA
rnacentral:rRNA from 1 species